rnacentral:rRNA from 1 species
CGGAGGGGUUAGCGUUGUUCGGAAUGACUGGGCGUAAAGCGCGCGUAGGCGGAUCGCAAAGUUGGGGUGAAAGCCCAGGGCUCAACCCUGGAAUUGCCUUCAGACUCGCGGUCUGGAGUUCGAGAGAGGUGGGUGGAAUUCCGAGUGUAGAGGUGAAAUUCGUUAGAUAUUCGGAGGAACACCAGUGGCGGAGGCGGCCCACUGGCUCGACACUGACGCUGAGGCGCGAAAGCGCGGGGAGCAAACAGGAUU